rnacentral:rRNA from 1 species
AACGAACGCUGGCGGCAUGCUUAACACAUGCAAGUCGAACGUGAUCCCUUCCUUCGGGGAGGGUGAAAGUGGCGGACGGGUGAGUAACGCGUGGGAACCUGCCUUGUGGUCUGGGAUAACCGCGGGAAACUGCGGCUAAUACCGGGUAAGCCCUUCGGGGAAAGGAUUUAUCGCCAUGAGAGGGGCCCGCGUCGGAUUAGGUAGUUGGUGGGGUAACGGCCUACCAAGCCUGCGAUCCGUAGCUGGUCUGAGAGGAUGAUCAGCCACACUGGGACUGAGAUACGGCCCAGACUCCUACGGGAGGCAGCAGUGGGGAAUAUUGGACAAUGGGGGCGAACCCUGAUCCAGCAAUGCCGCGUGAGUGAAGAAGGCCUUAGGGUUGUAAAGCUCUUUCGCCCGCGACGAUGAUGACGGUAGCGGGAGAAGAAGCCCCGGCUAACUCCGUGCCAGCCGCCGCGGU